GGGACUGCGAGGGCUGGGAGCGAGGAUUCCGGUUGUGGCAGAGGCGGCGAGGAGCCCCACGAGGCCGGAGGAGAGCCUAUCUAAUAGCGGUCCUGUAGCUUUCUAAAAGUAUUUGGAAAGAGGAUGCAUUACUUCAGUGGUAAAAUCAAAGACACAAGGAACUACCCAUCAGAACAACAUGAGACCACAAAGUGCUCAUAAUGAAUGGAUGAAUGGAGACUCCAGACCUUAAAAGGCCAAGGAAGAAUACAGCCUGGUCUUCCCCACUCAGCCUGAUCAGCAAAAAACUGGAAACAACUUGAAUGUAGGACGACAAGGAGGCGGAAGGGACAUCUGUUGCAUGAAAAUGAAUGCCUCCAAUAAAGCACAGGUGUUGAAUGCUGAGUGGCACAGAACUGUUUUGACUAUUGAAUGGUUGACUCAAAAUAGAGUGAACAAAAGAUAAUCACCAAAAACUUUAUCUGAUAUUGUUCUAUUUGUGGUAAAUCUAUGUAAGUAGAUAUGGAUAGAUCAGUGCUGUCCAAGAGAACUUUCUGUGAUGGGGGAAACGUUCUGAAUCUGUGCUGUCCAAUAUAGUAGCCACUAGCCAUUGGUAGGGAUGAAAUACUUAACAUAUCACUAGUCGACUGCAAAACUGAAUUUUUAAAAACAUCUAACUUUAGCUUUAAGCUAAAUAGUCACACGUGGCUAGUGGCUAUCACACUGGACAGCACCAAUAUAGAUACAUGAUAGACAGAGAGAGACAGACUGAAAAAAGAAAUGCCCACUAGUAGAAGUAAUUAUCUUUGUAUGUUGAAAUUACGGAUGAUUAUAAUUUUACUUUAUCUGCAAGUCACUGAUUCCUAAUUAUUCUA